rnacentral:rRNA from 1 species
AUUAAUAAGCGGAGGAAAAGAAACCAACCGGGAUUCCCCGAGUAAGGGCGACUGAAACGGGACCAGCCCAGCGCAUAACCUCGCGGUCCUUGGCCGGCCGUCGAGGGGUGUUGCGUUCCGGUGGAUCCGUCCCGCUCGAGCCGCUUACCGCCUAAGUCAUUGCUUGAAAGCAGCCCCGAGGAGGGUGAUAGGCCCGUGUGGCGGCGCCUGUAAAAAGGGUCAAGGCGGCCCGGGCGGAGGGAUCUUCACCGUAGAGUCGGGUUGCUUAGUACUGCAGCCCUAAGCAGGUGGUAAACUCCAUCUAAGGCUAAAUACAACCACGAGUCCGAUAGAGAACAAGUACCGUGAGGGAAAGCUGAAAAGGACUUUGAAGAGAGAGUUCAAGAGGACGUGAAACCGUUAGGAGCUUAAACGGGUGGAACCGCGAAGGUCGAACGAGGGGAUUCAGCUCGUGGGCCUCCGGCGCGCAGGCGGCGUUUCAUACGAAUUACCAUGAGAGGACCCGGCGUGAAUUGGAAUUGCCGUGGCCACGCCCCUGCCUCCGGAGUGCCGGCGGGCUUACUUCUCCCUCUAGUAGGUCGCCGCGACCCGUUGCCUCGGACCCCCAGGGCCGUGCUGGAUUGGUAGCCCGGAUCUUACCGUCCGGGUGAUGACCGGCUGCGGUUCCGACGGGCCCGGGCGACGGUCACUGCCAGGAGACCGCGCGCCCGUCCCGGUCUCGGCCGGGACGACGUCAGGCCUCUCGCGGCGUGCAAGGGAUCGGUAAUCCACCCGACCC